CAAAAUCACUUAUUCAUUUUAAUUUGUGUAAUGACACAUGUACUUGUGAUUUUAGACCCAGUGAGAUUCAUUGUAAUGUACAAACAUGAACGAAACUCCCCAAUUUCGCUGUAACAUAAGGCAGCAGCUAUACAGGGAAACCAGAAUUAAUGUUGCUUUUAAGGGCAAGUUGACAUCAAUCCAAAUGUAUAACACAAUUCACUGCUAAUCUGAAGCCGUUCCUGCGAAUACAGGUAUGAGCUGGGAAUACAUACUCGAAGGGACACCACUCUGUAACACUUAAUCAAUCCAAUUCAUAUAUUGUUUUUUUUUUUUUUGAUAGAUGGAGAAAACCAAAGAACCCAGAGGAAAUGGACAUGGACAAAAGAAGGAACUCAGCACAGGGAUUAAGCUGAUCUUUUUUCAGACUAAAUUAGGGAUGUUAGUGUACAUGAUAACUACUCAUAGGGUUGUGGAAUUUAUUAUGACCAAAUACACACUUAGGAAAUGUGUCAGAUAAAUCUAGUGUUGUAAAGGAUAAAAAGAAUAUAUUAAAACAUACUUAACCUGCAUGAUUUAACUGUUAAGAUCACCUUCAGAAUUAAGCCUGUCUGGUAUAUUUCUUCCUCUGACAAUAUAUAUUAUGCUAGUUGUUUGUAUUCCACUCCACUUCACGUGCGUCUACCAAAGCGAUUGGUCAUUUCACUGUAAAAGAAGGAUACAGCAAUAUGAGAACUGGUUGUCCGAUAGCACUGUGUCAGCAGAUAUGCAAAAGGAGCUCCUUGCCGGGCAUUUGGCAGCAGAGAGGUACUGCGGCAGCACGUGGGACGAGUGAUGCUUUUCACCCAGCUGCAAAUCUGAAACCAGGAAAUAGUGCUUUUUUUACAGCACAAAGCAUGAUGUAGCCAAAUGAGGGAUUUACUGCAUGCUGGAGUCAGAAUAGAGGACGAGGUGGCUAUGGAGCCUCUGAGCAUCUCUGUGGUGUUGAUUUUUCUCAGCAGUUUCCUCCUCUCUCAGUGGAUCUUUCACAUUGCAUGUCCAUGGAUGUCUGAGCGCCUCAUUCCAGCUUUUCUCACAUUUACACACAGGCAGAAGACAGAGUGGAGCUCUAGGGCUGUCUCCACUGUACAUGCUUUGGUGGUGGGAUUUUUUUGUCUCUACAUAUUAAUUUUUGAUGAAGCUGUCAAGAAAGACACCAUUUGGUAAGAGUUUGAUUGUGAAAUAAUGUAUGUUGUAUUAUAAAUUGUAAA